UAUUACAUGUGUGCAGAGAUUUAUACACAUUGGUUACUCAAUGUGUACUUUUUAAAAAAUCUGAUGAUCUUACAGUAUAGAAGGAGCAAUGAAUGGAGAGGAUGGUCAAUGAAAAGUUUCAGGGCAGUGUGAAGUGUUCUUUUGCCUGACCUCGAGCCUCGUGAGCAUGACUUUCAGAAGUUUCCUCAGAGUACUUUAUAUUUGUCUUCUGCAGUUUGGAGGAUACAGGAACUGGUGUCUGACUCAUGCUAAAAAAAAGUCUAGAAGGCAAGGCUGUGGGUGGAACCUCCUGCCAGGAGGUGGAAGGAAGCAAGGGCUACAUUUGAAAAGGAGCAACAUCCCAGUCAAUGGUGGGCCAACAGGCACUAGUUUGGGUCUGUCUUACAUCUGGACUGAUUGGAUUAUAUGCAGCAGUGGUGAGACCUCAGCAGAGAGGCUAAAAGUGCACGGUGCACGUAAAAAUUUGAAGAACUUGUGUGGACUGUCAGAGGAAGUGCAUUUACCCUGAUGAAGACACUGCAAGUUAGUGUUCACAAAUGAAGGGGAGCAUCUCCAAAGACCCACGGAAAGGCCAGGAGAGUCUGUUUUAAAUAACUCUGCAGGCCAAAGAAAACAAGGAUGACAUUUGCUGCCCUGUUAACAUCCCUCAUGUUUCCUUGAAUCAGCAGUGCCCCAGAAAACGUUUCCCUUCCUGAGACUCCAGGGAAGUCUUGGAACGCAAAGAACUUGAAGAGGGAGCCUGGCCAAAUAGAGAUUUUUGAGCCUUGGUAGGAUUGCUGAAGCAGAUUUUUAGCACAAACACAAAUCAAAGUCUUUGUGUACUUAAAAGCAG